CUGUAUUUCAUUCCAUGAUUAAAAUUAUUUCAGUAUGGAAAUAGUUUUUUUUUUUUUUUUAAUUUAUUUGCGUUAAGAAAUGUAAUAAUUUUCGAAGGAAUUUAUUGAUUUUGAUGCAGUUAGAGGCUUUGGGUGAAUUUUGAAGGGUCUGAAGUGUUGAGAUAAUGUUAAGGCCAACGAUCAGAUCGAACCUCAAAGAUCAACACAGGGAUCACUUGAUUUCUGAUGCUAGUUCAGAGUCGAAAGUUCACUCUGUUAUUUUUGGUCAAAAACAUAAAAAUAGUCCAUAUUUUAACGUCCCUGGGGUAUUUGUGGGGUUCGAUCCUAAGAGUUCAGAAUCUGAUUCAGAGAGAAGCCCUACUUCCCCAUUAGAUUAUCAGGUUUUCUCUAAUAUGGGCAAUCCGCUUAAGCCCCGAAUAUCAUCAAAUGAGGUGCAUCAAAAGAGCUGGGAUUGUAGCAAAGUCGGUCUAAGUAUUAUAAAUUCUCUUUACAAUGAAAAUAAAUACUCAGGGAAGGUUAACCGGUCAUCUGAUAGUAAAAAUAUUCUUUUUGGACCAAAAAUGAGGAUCGCAAAAGCAAAUUUUCCAGGUUGCAUCGAUUCUCUUGAAGUUCCAAGAUCAUUGCCAAAAAAUGUUGCCAUUUUUCCAAAUGACAUGGCAAAACCACCCAAUCACAUAAAGGACAAUUCUGAUGUCUUGUUCGAAAUUGGAGGAGCCACAUUUGAGCCAGAGCAGUUUGAGAAAAAUCUUCACUCCUGUUCGUUAGAUUCCGGAAGGUCUUGGUCGCAUUUAACCAAUUUUGGAAACUGUAAGCCCAAACCGUUGUCUGGUAACUUGAAUUCCAAGAAUGCAAUAAGCCACAUGUUUUCAGAAUCAAAGUUAGGCGAUUCAUCUGAAUGGAAGCUGAGUUCAAUUCCGGCAUCAAUUAGCUGUGGAACUGGUUUUAUUGGUUCUGUUCCGGCAAGGGAGGUUGAGCUUUCUGAGGAUUAUACCUGUGUGAGAACACAUGGCCCUAACCCCAAAGUUACUCAUAUCUUUGGUGACUGCAUUUUAGAAUGUCAUGACAAAUUAUCCAACGUUUUCAAGGAAAAUGUAGAGGAAAUUGCAUUGCCUCAGGUGGCAGAAUGCUCUGACGUUUUUUCUUCUUAUCCCUCCAGCGAUUUCUU
rnacentral:lncRNA from 1 species